UUGAGCCGUAUGCGAGGAAACCCGCACGUACGGUUCUUAAAGGGGAAAGCGGGGGUAACCCCGCCGACCUACUUAAU
rnacentral:ncRNA from 1 species